CUGAUGCAGCCAUGCCGCGUGUGUGAAGAAGGCCUUCGGGUUGUAAAGCUCUUUCAGUYGGGAGGAAAGGGUGKGUAKGUUAAUACCUGCUACCUGUGACGUUACCGACAGAAGAAGCACCGGCUAACUCCGUGCCAGCAGCCGCGGUAAU
rnacentral:rRNA from 1 species